rnacentral:piRNA from 1 species
UUCCAAGCAACCCUCUGUGCCUCUCUAAGA